UCCGUAGGCGGGCUAAUAAGUCAGUGGUGAAAACCUGCAGCUUAACUGUAGAACUGCCAUUGAUACUGUUAGUCUUGAGUACGGUCAAGGUAGGCGGAAUGUGUAAUGUAGCGGUGAAAUGCUUAGAUAUUACACAGAACACCGAUUGCGAAGGCAGCUUACUGGGCCAUUACUGACGCUGAGGCACGAAAGCGUGGGGAGCGAACAGGAUUAGAUACCCUGGUAGUCC
rnacentral:rRNA from 1 species